AACGAACGCUGGCGGCAUGCCUAACACAUGCAAGUCGAACGAGACCUUCGGGUCUAGUGGCGCACGGGUGCGUAACGCGUGGGAACCUGCCCUUAGGUUCGGAAUAACUCCCCGAAAGGGGUGCUAAUACCGGAUAAUGUCUUCGGACCAAAGAUUUAUCGCCUUUGGAUGGGCCCGCGUUGGAUUAGCUAGUUGGUAGGGUAAAAGCCUACCAAGGCGACGAUCCAUAGCUGGUCUGAGAGGAUGAUCAGCCACGCUGGGACUGAGACACGGCCCAGACUCGUACGGAAGGGAGCAGUGGGGAAUAUUGGACGAUGGGCGAAAGCCUGAUCCAGCAAUGCCGCGUGAGUGAUGAAGGCCUUAGGGUUGUGAAGCUCUUUUACCCGGGAUGAUAAUGACAGUACCGGGAGAAUAAGCACCGGCUAACUCCGUG
rnacentral:rRNA from 1 species